GACGUAGGGGGCCAGCGUUGUUCGGAAUUACUGGGUGUAAAGGGUUCGUAGGCGGUGUGGCAAGUCGGGAGUGAAAUCUUCGGGCUCAACUCGAAGUCUGCACGAGAAACUGCCGGGCUUGAGUAUGGGAGAGGUGAGUGGAAUUCCCGGUGUAGCAGUGAAAUGCGUAGAUAUCAAGUGGAACACCAGUGGCGAAGGCGAGUCCCUGGACAACACCUGACGCUGAGGCACGAAAGCCAGGGGAGCAAACGGG
rnacentral:rRNA from 1 species